AUUGAACGCUGGCGGCAUGCCUUACACAUGCAAGUCGAACGGUAACAGGUCUUCGGAUGCUGACGAGUGGCGAACGGGUGAGUAAUACAUCGGAACGUGCCCGAUCGUGGGGGAUAACGAGGCGAAAGCUUUGCUAAUACCGCAUACGAUCUACGGAUGAAAGCGGGGGAUCUUCGGACCUCGCGCGGACGGAGCGGCCGAUGGCAGAUUAGGUAGUUGGUGGGAUAAAAGCUUACCAAGCCGACGAUCUGUAGCUGGUCUGAGAGGAUGAUCAGCCACACUGGGACUGAGACACGGCCCAGACUCCUACGGGAGGCAGCAGUGGGGAAUUUUGGACAAUGGGCGAAAGCCUGAUCCAGCCAUGCCGCGUGCAGGACGAAGGCCUUCGGGUUGUAAACUGCUUUUGUACGGAACGAAAAGCCUCUUUCUAAUAAAGAGGGGUCAUGACGGUACCGUAAGAAUAAGCACCGGCUAACUACGUG
rnacentral:rRNA from 1 species